rfam:Pelodiscus sinensis unplaced genomic scaffold scaffold200, whole genome shotgun sequence.
GAGCUGGUUUCCUUUGAGCAGGCAUGGUGUCCCUCUGAUGGCUUCACUGUCUAAACAGCGGCGCGAGAGGAAAAGCUUGCUUGUAACUGGUGCUGCUUGGCUAAAACCUGAGUGGCACUUUUAAGAGAGAGCAACAGGC